rnacentral:rRNA from 1 species
UGCGGUGGUCAUGGCCCAGGUGAGACGCCCGGUCCCUUUCCGAACCCGGAAGCUAAGGCCUGGCACGGCGAUGGUAC